AAGUGCUGGAAUUACAGGCAUGAGCCACCAUGCCUAGCAUAGAGUAUUACAUUAUUUUCAAAGUCUUUUUCUAAGAUCUAUUUAUUGACUUUGGCCUAAAUAACUCAAUAUAAUAUCUCAGAAACUUUUUUUUGACAAAUUUUGGGGCAUGAUGAUGAGAGAAGGGGGUUUGAAACUUUCUAAUAAGAGUUAACUUGGAGCCAUUUAAGGAGGAACAAACACAAAUUAUCAGAAAAAUAAAAGAAAGAUCAAGUGCAGAAGUUCUGUGGCAAAGAUGAUAGUAAAGAAUAUAUGAUUGUGACUCAUGGUGGCUUUUACUUUGUUCUUGAAUUUCUGAGUAACUUAAGGGUUAACAUUUAAAGAAUGUGUGUUAUAGAUAACAUUUUAUUGCAAGUAAAUAUAUUUCAAAUUUUGUUACUGGUUUUGUAUGAGAUUAUUCUCAGCCUCCUUCAUUAUCAAGCUGUAUUAUUUUAUUAAUGUAGUUUGAUGAUAUUACAACAGAGCUGGGAGCUGUAUCUUCAAAAUAUGUCUAUUUGACUAAAUAAAAUCAAGUUAUUCAAUGGGAGUUAUUAUCUAUGAAAAAAGUACAACAGGAAUGUAAAAAAUUUGAGGAGAAUAAAAAUAUGUUGGAAGAAGAAAUAUUAAAUCUUAAGAUGCUUAUGGAAAGAACACACUGGUGAAGACAAAUUGGUGAUGUACAAAAUUAUAAGUUGGAUCUAGAAGAAAGCGCAAUGCAGGCAAUAGAAAAAUGAGUAGAAAUCCCUUUACAGGUUAGUUUGUAAAAUCAGGUAAGUUUAUUUAUAAUGUGCUUCUAUUUAUUUCACUGCAAAUUAUAUUUUGGAGAUAUAUAUAUAUUUCCUCUGCCUCUCUAAUAGCAAUUUGCCUUGUAGAAUUCUAGCAAUAAGGUGGCAUCUGUUUUUACUUUCAAAUAUUUAAAUUUCCAUCAUUAUAACAAAAUUGAUUUUUCAGAGUAAUGAUUCUCACUAUGGAGUCAUUUGAUUAAUAAGACCCAUUGGCAUAAGAUUACAUCUUCUGACUGCAAAAAUCCUGGAAGAAAAACUAGGAAAUAUUCUUCUGGACAUUGCACUUCGCAAUGAAUUUGUGGGUUUCCAAAAGUAAGUGUAAUGUGAGAGUUUCAUGAUGCUAAAUAAACUGAAACGUGAUACAUAUUUUGAUGGAUUGUCCUUGAGAGCAGGCUGGUGAGACCUUCAGAUAGAAAAUGCAGUUCAAAGAUAUUUCAU